UACUAGUGUAAGGGCAAAGUCGAUUAUUAGGUCGAACCAUAGUAGUCUCAUUCGAUAUUUAAUAACACCGUUAGAGUAACAAGAAUAGAGAUAUGUAUAAACAGUAAGGUAAGAGUGAGACAGCGCUUUACAAAUAAAACACACUUCCAAUAUGUCGUUGUUUCAAUAACCAAGUCCUUACAUGGCGCUCGGCCAAAUUAAUUAAAAAUAAUUAGUUAAACGUAAUGUGAAGUGAAAAAUAAACAUGAAUUUAAAGAAAUCAUAGCGUAAAUAAUGUAAAAAAAGAUAAAAUCAGUUUAAAACGUUUGUUAAAACACGGAUGUAGCCGGAUUGCGAGGAUAGUCCUACGUUGAAGGAAAUAAGCACGCGAUACGAUUAAUUGCGAGUACCAAGUUUCGGUACGCCGGCAAGUUUUCUCUUUUUUCAGCUUUCAGGUUAAACGUAAUUAACUGAAAUGGAAGGAACAGAAGAAGAAAAUUUUCAAAGUUUCACGGUAACACAAUUACGAGAAGAAUUGUCAAUACGUUAUUUGCCAACAAGUGGCCUAAAACAUGAUUUAAUCAGAAGAAUUAUCGAGGACAACAAAGCUAAAUUACAGGAUGGUACAAUGGAAGCAUUGAAGCAAGAAAAGGUACGUCGUACAUCUCAAAUUUUGGAAAUGGAGUCCAUGAGACAGCAAAUUCGGGAACUACAAGCAAGUCGAGCACCGGUAUUAGACCAAGGUACGUCAGCGGAAGGUACAAAUGCGACCUUAACCGAAGUUUUAACUCAAUUGGCACAGACCCAAGAAAUAAUUGCACAUAAAAUGUCUCCUACUUUCCAAGUCUUCUCAACUAGUGAUACAAGUAACGCUAUCCCUCUUUUUGGAGGUAACCGCACUGAAAAUGCAACUGAAUGGGUUAGGCAAGUAGAACGUAUAGCUGCAUUAGCAAGUUGGUCAGAUAACCUGACAAUGGUAAAUGCAUCCAUGCGAUUAAGAGGUCCAGCUUAUAAUUGGAAUACUGUUUGUGGAAAAAAAAUUGAAUCAUGGUCAGAAUGGAAAAAACAACUGAUAGAUAGAUUUAAAAUAAGAAUGUCAUUUGCCGAAUUCAUACAAUACCAAAGUAAAAGGAUACUUCGCUCUAAUGAAACCAUUACUGAGUACAUUUAUGUUAAAAAUGCGAUGCUUGAAAAGUCCCCAAGUUUAAUUCCAGAGCCAGAUCGAGUAUCUCUGAUACUAGAAGGAAUCCAAGACAUGCGGUGGUCAACGCCCAUAGCAACACAUUGCUGUAAGAACGUGGAGGAACUCAUCAAUCAUGCGACAGCAAUUGACAACAUCAGGAAGGUACAGCGUAAGAUGACCGAGCAGCAUGAAUCAGUAAGUAAACCAACAUUUGACAAAUCAAAAAGCAAUUUCAUACCGAAAUACAACCCCAGUGUAGACAAAAUAGAAGAAGUUACUUGUUUCCGAUGCAAGCGAAAAGGCCAUGUUUCAUACAAUUGUGAAAUACAGUCACAACACUCCAAUGUACAGUCACCUAAAGAAAAACAAGCAACAAAACCAUACUCUAAUCAAUUAAAUAACCCAAGCACAUCAACAGGUAUCAAACAUAAUCAGCAUAAGGAAAAGCAAGUAAAUUGCAUUCAAUUUGAUGAACCAAGUGUAACAUUAAUACCAAUUAUACUCAACAGCAAUAUAAAACUGUCAGCACUCCCAGAUUCAGGAUCAGUGGUAACCAUGGUGGAUAAGAAGCUACUCCCAAGUGACCUGCAAGUACACCCAUGGCAAAAAGGCUCAUACAAGGUAGCAGGAAGCAUGAUCACACCCGUUGGAUGGUUUACAGCAAGAUUACAGGUGGGAAAAAUUGACUAUAUUAUGCCUCAGAUAGCAAUCAGUGAAAACUUACCAGUAGAUAUGAUAUUAGGAAAAGAUUGGCAAUAUUCAGUAUAUGCAAGAAUUAUACAUGAACCAGAUGGCAAAAUAUGUAUUAUUACGCCUACACAUACAGAGUAUUUUGACAAUUUGUCACAAGAAAACACUUUAACUGCAUGUUGUAUGAAAACCAUUAGCACUAGCAACCAGGAAAUUUUAAUUACACAGGAUGACAAAGAAAAAGUUGCUAAUUUAGUUGACAAGUAUUCUGAAAUUUUUAAAAGUGACAAAAAUGAUAUAGGAGAAUUUCAGGAUGUAGAACUAGAAAUAAAGUUAAAACAUAAUGUUCCUAUUAAAUGUAAACCAUACAGACUUCCACAACCAGAACGAGAAUUUUUAAGAAAAACGAUAGAUGAAUGGAUUGAGCAAAAGAUAUGUAGACAUUCAGAUUCCCCAUAUGCUGCACCAAUGUUUGUUGUAGAACAGCCGUUUCAUAGUACAACUCCUUUCAGACCGGUUGUAGAUUAUUCAAAAACCAUAAACCCGAUUACAGAAAACAAUGUUCAACCUAUAGACCGAAUGGAAGAUAUAAUAAAUGUAAUAUCACAGUUUGUAUACAAAUUUAAACUUGACAUUUACCAUGCAUAUCACAAUAUUAAAAUUAAAGAAGAAGAUAUUUAUAAGACAGCGGUAAUAACACAGGAUCAUCAUGUAGAAUUCAUGCGAGUCAUGUUUGGAAUGGUCGGAGGGCCAUCGAUUAUGUCAAAAGUAAUUAAUUUAACAUAUGGACACUUAUAUGACCAAGGAGUACGUUUGUAUUACGAUGACAUUUCAGGAGGUGCACAUACAAUGGGGAAUGGAUGAAAAUAUUAAAUGUGCCUGAUUAUUUUUCUGGUCGUAGGAAUAACCAUUUCUAGUUACAGAAAAAAGUUACAGAUUUUUUGGUUGCGUCAUACAUUUUAUAAAAAUAAAAACAUUUUGCUUCACCGCACGUCCGGCCCAUUACGGCUGUUAAGAAAACUUUCUAAGUCUUAAAAAGUUAUCGCUAUUUGAAUCUGUGGAGCGCAUGACAUUGACAGUUGAUUGACAGCUUGUCAUUCUUCUCGCGGAAUUCAUAACCUUUUGUGCUCUCAUCUGGUGAUUUGGUUUCUUUGUAUUUAUGUGAUUAUUACGACUCGCUUCCCCACCCGGACCUCUGAUUUUGCCUGCUCCAACGACGACCUUCGCUUUUGAACCCCGGACCUGAUUUUGAUAGCAAUUUCGACGACCCCUGGCAUUUGAAUUCUGCAAACAUGGAUACCGCUGCUUUUGUUAGAGCAAACUCAUCUAAUUUGCCAAAAGUAGACCCAUAUAUGCUUAUGGAGUUUAUGAAGAAUAGCGACAAACAUAAUGCCGGUGAAAUAAGAGAUGCCAAAGCUUUGUCGUCUUCAAGAGAAUCAUAUGUUGAGACUGCUAUUGGAUAUGUUGAAACAAAGCGGACUGGGAAUCUUUGUGAUGUGAGAGCUAAAGUUGUUCCUGAACAAAGAAUAACAAGCAAAUACUAUGUUGUGAUGGUCCAUUUAGAAGAGGCAAAUGAAUCAAUCAUAGAUACUUCAUGUGACUGUGCAGCGGGGGCUGGUGGGUGUAAACAUACUGUUGUAGUAUUACAUUGGCUACAAAAACGAAGUGCUGAACCUUCACCAACCAGUAUCCAAUGUUACUGGACGAAACCCAGCCUCAAACGGGCGCUAGACAAACCAUUAAUGUGUAAAGAUUUGGCAAAAGGAGAAGUUGCCGAAAGGGGGCCAAAGGACCCUUUGGUACUGAAAAGACUACGACAAGAAGCAACCAAACAUGGUUGUGGUAAAAGCCUGCUCAUGGUAUAUGAUCCUGAAAGACCGAUGAAAAUGAACUCAAAAUAUUGUAUUUUUGACAUGAUGGUGGAUUUUUUAGAAAAGGAAAGUAGGCCAACUUUUAACAAAUUUAAAAUAUUUAGCAAUGCAAUAAUGCUAGAAAAUAAAGAAAAAAUCAUGAAAGACACUGUAGGCCAAGUGAACUCAAAGCAGUGGCAUUCAAUUCGACAAGGCCGAAUUACAGGAUCAAAAAUUUAUGAAAUUGCUCAUUGCAAAACACCCCAUGGCAGUCUUGUUGAAGAAAUACUAGGAGGGUGCAAAGCACCAGAAACAAAGUCCAUGAAAAGGGGUAAAAUCCUAGAAAAACGAGUACUGAAUAAAGUAAAGACUGAUAUAAAUAAAGAAAUAGAAGAAUGUGGAUUUUUGAUUAUAGAUGGAAUUUUUGGAGCGUCACCUGAUGGCGUUGGAGAUGACUUUGUGGUCGAAAUUAAGUGUCCCAUUUCGGAGAAAACUAAAAAAAAAUUAUAUAAAGAAUGGGCAAAUUGCGAAUAAGUUUAUGGGCCAAGUGCAAUUAGAGAUGCUAGCGGCUGGCAAAAAUAAGUGUUUGUUGUGUGUGGCGGACCCGAAAUUUGAAAGCAACAGCUUAAUUGAGACAAUUGUUGUUAAUUUUGAUAAAAAUUAUAUAGAUAAUUUGAUGAGAGACGCAGAGAAAUUUUGGGAUGAGAAUGUGUAUCCUGUAAUUUUAAAAAGUGCAUCUACAGCAUGACAUUAAUUUUGUACUUUGUAUUUAUUUUAAAUAAAUAUGUUUGUCUUGA